AUUCCCAGUAACUGGAGACCCUGCUUGGGACUGUGAACUGCUUUCAUUCUGGGUGCUUCAGAGGCAGAUCUGAAACAUGAGUCUUCAGUAUGAAGUUACUCAUCGUUGAUUAUGCUGCCCUGCAUGCUGCAAAAGGAAAACAAGAUUACAUCACAGCCCUGGCAACACCAUGGAUUCGGUGAUCUGUGUGGGCGAGAAUUUCAGAAAAUCCGAAGGCCUUGUAUUCACUGAAGACUCUAACACUCACGCCCAGGAUCCACUAAGAGAAGAAAUGCUGUGUGUAUUACCUCUUUGCUUACAAUAGAGGAUCAAUUUUAGUUGAUUAAAGUCAUAUUGUUGGGU
rnacentral:lncRNA from 1 species